GGAGGGUGGCUCCCACAGGCUCUGGGCGGGGAGACUCGCCGCGCCUAGGAAUGACCCGUAGGCUGCUGGGGUGAGAAGGCGUAAGGUCAGCCGGACAGGGGGAGUCUGAUCAGUGACCUCAGCAUGGCCUUUGGGAAGGGACGAGGCCGGCCCACUAUCCCCCUAGCUUAAACAUGCCCAGCCUGGGACCGGAUACCAACUUGAAAGUUACUUGAUGACCAUACAAUCCAUACAGCAACCCAAUGGAAAGAAAAGUUCUGUCAUUUUCAAAUUCCAAUGAAACUAAGAAGAGAGGAAAGAAAAGAAACUCUUUGAUCUAUGCUUAGACUGGAACCAUUUCAGGCAUUUGCUGUGCAUCCUAAGGGUGGUUUUUUCAAUGAAGCUGUGGUAUAUGCACUGCAAGACUGUGAUGCUCAUCAUACUGGAAUGAGCAUAAGAUAUGAGUAUGACUGUCUCUUGGGAGACGCCAUCGAGGGCAGUGCCAUGAAACAUGAGAAUCUCUGGGGCACCACAGCAUUGUAACUCAGGAGCUAUGGCUUUGCCAACACUACACAGUCCUGCCUGAUGUCCUGUCGGCGGCUGGGAGUACAUACAUAGGAUGUCCUUUUCACAUCCACAACUGCACAACUGAGAGAAGAGCAUGAGCAGCUGAGAAGAUUUUAUUGUGUGUUAAAUAAGGACCUCUUCAGGGAGAAAUUGAUGGCUCAAAAGGUUCACCAACACCUCCCGGAUCCCAUCAUCCCCUCAGCUUGAGUGCAGCUCCUAUUACUGCUGCUGCUCCGAGGAGCCGGGUUUGUACGUAGUCAGCAGGUAAUAAAUACAUCCGUAGACUGGCUCCUCCAUCUGGACCAACGACCUUGCUUCUAGGUGACUCAGUGAGUGGAGAUCAAGCCUCAGAUGCUCUUUCUGCAGUGGAGUCACAUUCCUCAUGUCCUGUCUUCAUCUGUAAACUGUGCAUACCACUGAUAACGACCUGAUUCAAGGCUCAGUUGAAAUGACCCAUGUGAAGCUUCUUCCCAGCAAGGAUCUCAUUAAUGAACUUGGUCCCCUUCUUUGAUGAACGUUUGGACACUGACAGGUACUUCUCUGAGCAGUGUCUCCUUCAGAUGGCCUUUGAUGCUUUGCCUCGCAUUCCACAUGUUAUAUGGUGUUGGGCAAGAGGCACACCUGUCUUCUUUCCUGGUCUCUUUCAGGCUAGACUGAUCCCAGACACCCUCCCCUGGAAGGCUGAUUGGAUAAAUACAGACACAAUCAGAUAUACAGUGAAGAGAAUUUCAGUCAAUCAGUGUGUUCAGUAGUUAUACUAGAUAAAAUCAAGACUUUAAAAUAAGGAAGCUUGAGGAAAAGUGACUAAAGGGAUUUAACAAUCUGUUGUGUUGUGUGCAGCUUUCUUUGGAGAGUAAUGAUUUACUUUUGUUGAAAUAAAAAUAUCAAUUACCAAUAUUUCCACGGUGAAAAAGUAGACAAAGAAUCUGAUAAUUCUUCAAGUUUUUAUUGUAUCUUUUUGUAUGUUUUCUUUCAAAACUCAUUUUCGUUUACUGGCCAGAAUUUUACCUCCUGUUUAUGCUACACAACUGUUGCAAUAAAUUCAGUCGUAUCACACGACUGA